rnacentral:rRNA from 1 species
AGGAAUAUUGGACAAUGGAGGCAACUCUGAUCCAGCCAUGCCGCGUGAAGGAAUAAGGCCCUACGGGUUGUAAACUUCUUUUAGACGGGACAAAACCCCUUUACGGGUAAAGGGUUGAUGGUACUGUCAGAAUAAGCAUCGGCUAACUUCGUGCCAGCAGCCGCGGUAAUACGAAGGAUGCAAGCGUUAUCCGGAAUUAUUGGGUUUAAAGGGUGCGUAGGCGGACUAAUAAGUCAGUGGUGAAAGCCUGCAGCUUAACUGCAGAAUUGACAUUGAUACUGUUAGUCUUGAGUACAGUUGAGGUAGGCGGAAUGUGUCAUGUAGCGGUGAAAUGCUUAGAUAUGACACAGAACACCGAUUGCGAAGGCAGCUUGCUAAGCUGUAACUGACGCUGAGGCACGAAAGCGUGGGGAGCAAACA